GUAGGCAGAAGAGAUCGGCGGCGGAGAGGCUGAAUUUGGGCUUCGAUAAGAUUGUGCUUGUGGGGGUGGUGGUGGAGGGUGGUGACGGUGGUGAGGUUGGUACUCAAUGGUAGUAGUGGUGUUAGUUGGAGGAGGAGAAUCUUCAGGCUCCCGGCGGUGAAAAUUGCGGUGGCAACCGCAGGCUGCGCAUUUUAAAGAAGUUGGAUCAGUGUGGGUAGCUGUAGGAGAAGGCAU
rnacentral:lncRNA from 1 species